GUGGGUAGUUUGACUGGGGCGGUCUCCUCCUAAAGAGUAACGGAGGAGCACGAAGGUUGGCUAAUCCUGGUCGGACAUCAGGAGGUUAGUGCAAUGGCAUAAGCCAGCUUGACUGCGAGCGUGACGGCGCGAGCAGGUGCGAAAGCAGGUCAUAGUGAUCCGGUGGUUCUGAAUGGAAGGGCCAUCGCUCAACGGAUAAAAGGUACUCCGGGGAUAACAGGCUGAUACCGCCCAAGAGUUCAUAUCGACGGCGGUGUUUGGCACCUCGAUGUCGGCUCAUCACAUCCUGGGGCUGAAGUAGGUCCCAAGGGUAUGGCUGUUCGCCAUUUAAAGUGGUACGCGAGCUGGGUUUAGAACGUCGUGAGACAGUUCGGUCCCUAUCUGCCGUGGGCGCUGGAGAACUGAGGGGGGCUGCUCCUAGUACGAGAGGACCGGAGUGGACGCAUCACUGGUGUUCGGGUUGUCAUGCCAAUGGCACUGCCCGGUAGCUAAAUGCGGAAGAGAUAAGUGCUGAAAGCAUCUAAGCACGAAACUUGCCCCGAGAUGAGUUCUCCCUGAGACUUUAGGUCUCCUGAAGGA
rnacentral:rRNA from 1 species